rnacentral:rRNA from 1 species
AGCAGCCGCGGUAAUUCCAGCUCCAAUAGCGUAUAUUAAAGUUGUUGCAGUUAAAAAGCUCGUAGUUGAAUUUCGGGGUUAGUAGGCUGGUCGUGCCACUGGUAUGUACUGGUCUCACUGACUCCUCCUUCCUGAUGAACUGUAAUGCCAUUAAUUUGGUGUUGCAGGGAAACUGGACUGUUACUUUGAAAAAAUUAGAGUGUUUAAAGCAAGCUAACGCUUGAAUACAUUAGCAUGGAAUAAUGAAAUAGGACGUUCGAUCCUAUUUUGUUGGUUUCUAGGAUUGACGUAAUGAUUAAUAGGGAUAGUUGGGGGCAUUAGUAUUCAAUUGUCAGAGGUGAAAUUCUUGGAUUUAUUGAAGACUAACUACUGCGAAAGCAUUUGCCAAGGACGUUUUCAUUAAUCAAGAACGAAAGUUAGGGGAUCGAAGACGAUCAGAUAUCGUCGUAGUCUUAACCAUAAACUAUGCCGACUAGGGAUCGGAUGAUGUUAAUUUUUAAUGA